ensembl:lncRNA PRKG2-AS1 PRKG2 antisense RNA 1
AUGCUUAGUGGAUUCAUCACCAUGUGUGGGGGCAGAAACUACUUCCACUCUUACCUUCCAUACUGCAUAACUGCCAGUGGCAAGAAUGAAAUAAGUUAAUCUAGAUAGACAACUUCUGCCUCACACUUAAGGCCCCAAAGGAACAAGAAUAAAAGCAAUACUUAGAUUAUCAGGAACUACAAUGCCAAUGAAGGAAUGACAACCAUCAUUGUUGUCAACAACAUGUCAACAACAUCAACAAAUAGAAAGCAUUCCUCCAUUCAUCACUCCUUCUGGGAAGAAGUAGACUAAGAGGUAAGAAGCAACUAAUUUUUCAUGGGAUUUGAAACUAAGUAGGUGAAUCUGAAGUCUGCGCUGCUUCCAUUCCAUCCCAUUGUCUCUUCUGAGGGAGAAAGCUUCUAAGGGAGAAAGCCUUUGGGGCUUGGAACAAAAGAAGCCAGAGUCUUUAGAGUACACACUCCGUACUUCCAUUAAAUAAAUUUCAACAACAGGUCAAAGCAUGUAUCUUGCAACCUUCUUUGAAUAAGGCUCAGUGCAAAGCUGGGGCCAGUGACCUUGACCUUCCUUCAUCCCUAUCUAUCAAGGAUUUUUUGUGAGCAUAAGAGGCAGCAACUUUACUUGUAUUUCAUUUCAUAGCUUAAUUAUAUCUACAUGCAAUUAGAAAA